GGGGUUGUGGCUCAGCGGUAGAGCGCUCGCCUAGCUCGCCUAGCACGUGGGAGGCCCUGGAUUCGAUCCUCAGCACCACA
rnacentral:tRNA from 1 species